AGCGGCGGGGGCGGUCAGGCUGCGGGACCGGGCGGUUACCGGGUACACAGAGCCAGGGGCCGGAGCGGGCGCAUCGCCAACGCGAUCACGUGCGCAGCCCCACCUCUCCUGCGUGCCUCCUCCGCGCGCUGCUCUCCCCAUUCAUAAAUUCUCCGUCGGCUCCGCGGCCACCGAGCUCCAGAGCCAACCGGGAGAGCCGUGUUAUCUGCCGCCCGCCCUCCCGCCGCCCAUGGGCCGCACGCCCCGGCGCUGAGCCUCAAAAUGCAGCCCACGGCCACCAUGGCCACAGCGGCCGC
rnacentral:lncRNA from 1 species